UGAACGCUGGCGGCGUGCCUAAUACAUGCAAGUCGAGCGAACAGACGCGGAGCUUGCUCCUCUGACGUUAGCGGCGGACGGGUGAGUAACACGUGGAUAACCUACCUAUAAGACUGGGAUAACUUCGGGAAACCGGAGCUAAUACCGGAUAAUAUAUUGAACCGCAUGGUUCAAUAGUGAAAGACGGUUUUGCUGUCACUUAUAGAUGGAUCCGCGCCGCAUUAGCUAGUUGGUAAGGUAACGGCUUACCAAGGCAACGAUGCGUAGCCGACCUGAGAGGGUGAUCGGCCACACUGGAACUGAGACACGGUCCAGACUCCUACGGGAGGCAGCAGUAGGGAAUCUUCCGCAAUGGGCGAAAGCUUGACGGAGCAACGCCGCGUGAGUGAUGAAGGUCUUCGGACCGUAAAACUCUGUUAUUAGGGAAGAACAAAUGUGUAAGUAACUAUGCACGUCUUGACGGUACCUAAUCAGAAAGCCACGGCUAACUACGUG
rnacentral:rRNA from 1 species